rnacentral:rRNA from 1 species
GGCGGACGGGUGAGUAACGCGUGGGUAACCUGCCUCAUACAGGGGGAUAACAGUUGGAAACGGCUGCUAAUACCGCAUAAGCGCACAGUACCGCAUGGUACGGUGUGAAAAACUCCGGUGGUACGAGAUGGACCCGCGUCUGAUUAGGUAGUUGGUGGGGUAACGGCCUACCAAGCCGACGAUCAGUAGCCGACCUGAGAGGGUGACCGGCCACAUUGGGACUGAGACACGGCCCAA